UACGGAGGGGGCUAGCGUUGUUCGGAAUUACUGGGCGUAAAGCGCACGUAGGCGGCUUUGUAAGUUAGAGGUGAAAGCCCAGGGCUUAACCCCUGGAAUUGCCUUUAAGACUGCAUCGCUAGAAUCGUGGAGAGGUGAGUGGAAUUCCGAGUGUAGAGGUGAAAUUCGUAGAUAUUCGGAAGAACACCAGUGGCGAAGGCGACUCACUGGACUGGUAUUGACGCUGAUGUGCGAAAGCGUGGGGAGCAAACAGGG
rnacentral:rRNA from 1 species